AGCUGAAUCUGGAGGGGCCACG
rnacentral:miRNA from 1 species